rnacentral:rRNA from 1 species
UGGGGAAUAUUGCACAAUGGGGGAAACCCUGAUGCAGCGACGCCGCGUGAGCGAUGAAGUCUUUCGAGUCUUAAAGCUCUGUCCUAUGGGAAGAUAAUGACGGUACCAUAGAAGAAAGCCCCGGCUAAUUACGUGCCAGCAGCCGCGGUAAUACGUAAGGGGCGAGCGUUGUCCGGAAUUAUUGGGCGUAAAGAGUGCGUAGGCGGCAAGUUAAGUCAGAUGUGAAAACUAAGGGCUCAACCCAUAGAUUGCAUCUGAAACUGAUAUGCUUGAGUCAAGGAGAGGAAAGUGGAAUUCCUAGUGUAGCGGUGGAAUGCGUAGAUAUUAAGAGGAAUACCGGUGGCGAAGGCGACUUUCUGGACUUGAACUGACGCUGAGGCACGAAAGCGUGGGGAGCAAACAGG